GCUAGCAGCCAUAUCACCUGCAACUCACAACUGGCAACCCACUGAAGCUAAGCAGGUGUGAGACUGGUCAGUACCUGCAUGGGAGACCUCCUGGGAAAAAUUAAGGUUGCUGCUGAAA
rnacentral:rRNA from 1 species